rnacentral:lncRNA from 1 species
GUGAGGAGGAUUGGGACAAUAACCUGCAUCUGGGGUGACACACCACUGAACACUCUCCUGGUACCUCUUACCAUCCUAGAAACUACAUGUCAGAGGGAACUGGGACAGGGAGGGAAAGAGACCUGUGAGACACAUGUUUUGUUUCCUUCCCUUGUGGAAAUUUCUUCCCAGUGGAGCAUAAUCAAGAUGAGACUAAGAGCACAGACAGUACCAGAGGAUAAAAGAACCACCAUGAAGAGGCACAGGUGACAGAGAUGAAGGUUUGUACAGGAUCUCUGAGGAGUGAACAGGGAGACUUGUCCCAUCGCCUGCCUUUCACGCCUGCGCUGUCCUUGGGAAAGGAAGCAGGCACCACCUGAUUUACCCAGGAGAACUGAGAGGGACCUUGCCCACAAGAGCACGGUUUUCAGAAAACCAAACAUGGAAAUGUGAAGACGCUACCCUGUCUGUGGGCCUCCUGCCGGGCUGUGGGAACAGGAGAGCUGUGAACCCAGGGAAGCAAUAUAAGACUGUAUUGAACCAUCAGUGUGCCUAAAUAAACCCUCACUUGUUGGAUGACCAAACAGGACGAUGGUACCAAUGUAAUUUUGCUGGUAAUUUCAUGAAGGACCCCUACGACAUGGAUAGCGUCUAUAAUGGUUACGGUCUGCUGCAUAUUUACUGCCUUGAACUGGAACUCCACCAGCGCCUGUAACAUCUGCUGCCUCUGCAACCUUUUCUCCUUCAACAUCAUCAAACCCUACAGUCUCUCCAUCUCCUUUCUACACUGUGAAGAAGAGGGCCUACCCAUAAAUUUGCCUAUAUGUCCUGGAGUUGGAGUUAAAGAUGUGGUGCACAGAAUGAAAUGGUG